UACAGAGACUGCAAGCGUUAUUCGGAUUCACUGGGCGUAAAGCGUGCGCAGGCGGUUAUAUAAGACAGUUGUGAAAUCCCCGGGCUCAACCUGGGAACUGCAUCUGUGACUGUAUAGCUAGAGUACGGUAGAGGGGGAUGGAAUUCCGCGUGUAGCAGUGAAAUGCGUAGAUAUGCGGAGGAACACCGAUGGCGAAGGCAAUCCCCUGGACCUGUACUGACGCUCAUGCACGAAAGCGUGGGGAGCAAACAGG
rnacentral:rRNA from 1 species